ACACGACUGUCAUAAAUGCAAAUUUAUUAGAGCAAGCUGUGUGUGUAGGCCUAAAAUUCUAGUUUGGAUUUCCAACUAAUGCAAAUAUUUUCUACAUGUAAAACUUAGUGUUCCUAGGACAAGGUUUAACAAAAUGGCUCAUUUUAUGUGGCCAACAAUUUACAAGGGGGAUGUGCAGCCAGUGCACUGAUCCAUCAGCCAUACUUCAUCCCCAACAACUGUUAGAUACUGGUAUGUAUUUAAUCUCUGGACAUUUUUAUAAACUAGUACUGUGAUGUUCUAAACAAAGACUUGCUCUGUAGCUUCAUGACUGAAACACUUAAAACACAGUCAUCUUUUAGUUUCAUAACUGAAAUUCUAAAAUGCAGUCAUCUCUGUUAGUUUCAUGCCUGAAUCUCUAAAACUCAGCAUGUCCCAUAACGCAACAGGUUUGUGCCAUUUCAGCUGGAAAAUAUAAUCAUACAACGCUUAAUGGGUAAUUUUUAACAUACAUUUAUUUAGUUGCGCUAAAAGUUGGGCAAACAUGGCCU